rnacentral:rRNA from 1 species
GUGACCGACCUGCCCCAUGCACCGGAAUAGCUCCUGGAAACGGGUGGUAAUGCCGGAUGCUCCAUCACACUGCAUGGUGUGUUGGGAAAGCCUUUGCGGCAUGGGAUGGGGUCGCGUCCUAUCAGCUUGAUGGCGGGGUAACGGCCCACCAUGGCUUCGACGGGUAGCCGGCCUGAGAGGGCGACCGGCCACAUUGGGACUGAGAUACGGCCCAGACUCCUACGGGAGGCAGCAGUGGGGAAUAUUGCACAAUGGGCGCAAGCCUGAUGCAGCGACGCCGCGUGAGGGAUGGAGGCCUUCGGGUUGUAAACCUCUUUUGUUAGGGAGCAAGGCAUUUUGUGUUGAGUGUACCUUUCGAAUAAGCACCGGCUAACUACGUGCCAGCAGCCGCGGUAAUACGUAGGGUGCAAGCGUUAUCCGGAAUUAUUGGGCGUAAAGGGCUCGUAGGCGGUUCGUCGCGUCCGGUGUGAAAGUCCAUCGCUUAACGGUGGAUCCGCGCCGGGUACGGGCGGGCUUGAGUGCGGUAGGGGAGACUGGAAUUCCCGGUGUAACGGUGGAAUGUGUAGAUAUCGGGAAGAACACCAAUGGCGAAGGCAGGUCUCUGGGCCGUUACUGACGCUGAGGAGCGAAAGCGUGGGGAGCGAACAGGAUUAGAUACCCUGGUAGUCCACGCCGUAAACGGUGGAUGCUGGAUGUGGGGCCCGUUCCACGGGUUCCGUGUCGGAGCUAACGCGUUAAGCAUCCCGCCUGGGGAGUACGGCCGCAAGGCUAAAACUCAAAGAAAUUGACGGGGGCCCGCACAAGCGGCGGAGCAUGCGGAUUAAUUCGAUGCAACGCGAAGAACCUUACCUGGGCUUGACAUGUUCCCGACGAUCCCAGAGAUGGGGUUUCCCUUCGGGGCGGGUUCACAGGUGGUGCAUGGUCGUCGUCAGCUCGUGUCGUGAGAUGUUGGGUUAAGUCCCGCAACGAGCGCAACCCUCGCCCCGUGUUGCCAGCGGAUUGUGCCGGGAACUCACGGGGGACCGCCGGGGUUAACUCGGAGGAAGGUGGGGAUGACGUCAGAUCAUCAUGCCCCUUACGUCCAGGGCUUCACGCAUGCUACAAUGGCCGGUACAACGGGAUGCGACAGCGCGAGCUGGAGCGGAUCCCUGAAAACCGGUCUCAGUUCGGAUCGCAGUCUGCAACUCGACUGCGUGAAGGCGGAGUCGCUAGUAAUCGCGAAUCAGCAACGUCGCGGUGAAUGCGUUCCCGGGCCUUGU